rnacentral:lncRNA from 1 species
UAAACUAUUUGUGUAAAGAUUUAGGUAUGAAUAACUACAUUCAGCUAAUUAUCCCUGGGACACUGCUCUCAACUAAAUGCCAUUCUUUCCCUUCUUACAGGUGGUGAGAUCCCAGUCAAUCUGGAAGUGAACACAGCUCCUGUACAGCUGACAAACCUUCUACUCAAGUAUAGCUUUAUUGCAUUUUCUUACAUUGGGGUUAGAGAUCUAGCAGUUCAAAAGGUUCAGCUGUAGCCACAAACAACUCAUGGAAGUGGAAGACCACUGGAAUGAGGACAUGUGCUUUAGGUCAUCUGGAACAAUUUGUUCUUAACACAAGAGGCAAAGACAGAUGCAAGCCAGCAAAAUAUGGGAUAAUAAUGCAGCCUCCCUGGUGAUGGCAACACAAGCUGUGCAGCACCAGGACUCCGAGUCUCUUAAAGCCAAGAAGAAGCUGCGCUGUAGGGUUUUUUUUUGUGCUCCCUCCCACCUACAGCCUCAUCCCAGCAGUGCCAUGUUAGCACAUGAUCUGAUUUGGUGCUUUGAUUGACUGGAGAAAGAGGAGAUCUGUCCUGAUAUGGAAGGCUCGGCUCUUCCUCCUGCCUGUCUGUGGUGGAGUAAAAUCUGUCCUGUAAUAAUAAAAAUAAAAACAAAAUAUAAAAAGCUUAAACU